CUAACUCACCUUAGCCAGGUUGUCAUGAAGGCCAUAUUAGAUAAACACACACUAGCACUUAGAGAACUACAGAAACUCUAAAAAUAUAAAGGAUCAUUAUUUCAAUUAUAAACAGAUGCAUUAACCUUCCAGCUUCUUAAAUGAUGAGUGAGGAUGCAAGCACAAGCAGAACACAGAUUUGAAGAUAUAAGAAAAGGAGAUAAAGAAGAAAGGAACAGAAUUAUAGGAGUGAAAACAAGAGAAAGAAAUUACAUAGCUACACUAAACAGGAAGGUCCCCAGGCUACUUGUGGACACAUAGAUGUAUAAAAGGACUGCUUCUGUUGAACAAGGUUAAAGAGUCAGAACAGGGGGGCUGAAGAGGCAGAAUGCUCCCUGAACAAAAUAGCAAGAGGGAUCUUCCUGUAGGAGCAUCUUUUUCUGAAGUGACAAGGAAGCAGCAUCUUUCACAGCUGGCAGUGCAUGCCUGCUAAUACCUGGAUGCCAGAAGUGCUCUUGAAGAACAAACAGGCAACCUGUUUCCUCCUCAAGCAGCAGCAAAAGCUGUCAAAACCACAGGUGCACCAGGAACCACCCCUCCAUCAAGCUGUUUACAUCCCUCUUUCAUUCUACCACUUGGCAGCUGAGGUUGAUUCUGGCCUCGGCACCAGAGACAAUAUAUCUCUCAGGAUUUAAGUCAUACAGAUGGCGUCAGAAUUCAGCAGUUUAAUGCCUACCUCCCACAAUGAUAUGAAGUCAAGAUCUGGGGCCAGGUAUUGCAGUACUUUUAUUUAGGACAAGGAUGGCUAGGGUCAUACAAACCAACAGUGCAAUGUCUACUCCUGCUCUAGGUCUUUCAAUUCUUGUUUUUAAAUAUAUAGUCUUUGCACACCUGAAUAUUAGUAGUUGUGGAGCUAAAAAGUAGAAUAAUAUAAGCAGCACUUACACUUAUUUUAAAGCAUAUUUAGAAGCAUUACAUUUAUCUAGUCUCAUCACAGACUUGCAGAAACAUCAAU